AAUUGCAAUUAUUUCCCUUGAACGAGGAAUUCCCAGUAAGCGCGAGUCAUUAGCUCGCGUUGAUUACGUCCCUGCCCUUUGUACACACCGCCCGUCGCUACUACCGAUUGAAUGGUUUAGUGAGGUCCUCCGAUUGGACCCGGUCCGGGCGGCGACGUCCGAGCCGGCGUCCGAGAAGACGAUCUAACUUGAUCAUUUAGAGGAAGUAAAAGUCGUAACAAGGUUUCCGUAGGUGAACCUGCGGAAGGAUCAUUA
rnacentral:ncRNA from 1 species